UAGUUUCUAUAUAAAGGGGUUCGAAGAGGAGUGUAGUAUUGGGUCCGAUGUGCCUGGGAGAAUAUUUGAGCAUGGUUCUAUAAUUUAAAAGUUUCCAUUAAUUUGAACAACAGUUCGAAUUAAUCAUCCUCUUAGCCCUAGAAUCAUCUAGUGCAUCUAGUACUGAAGAAAGGAUACGUUAAUGGAGAUGUUUUUCCUAUUAUCCAAUAGGAUGUUAAGUUGACAAGGAAUGCUACUAUACCCGAUAAUAUGACCAUGAUCUAGGUUCUAAGAAUGGCACAACGAAGAAUAACAUAACAGCGGAUAAAGGUGCUUGAUAAUAUAACAACUGCAUCGGAUCCAUUUGAAAUUCUCUUUGCUUAAUAUUUAUCAUCUAGAAAUGUCGAAAUUUCUAUACUUCAAUUAUUUACUUUAAUGGUUUAGAAGGCAAAAGAGGAUAUUGUACCACUUGGUAUAAAGACAUUAGAAAUACUCCCAUUGAUGCAUAUACGGUUCCAAUAAUAUUAAAUUGAAUAUCAUAGUAAAAAUUAAUUACUACUCCUAUCGUGAUAAGAAUCAGUGUUAAUUUUACAAAUAUGCUAAAUUGUUUUCUAUAAAAUACUAUUUGCAUCAUUAUCACGCAAGGAGUUGUCAGCAUUUUAGCUACUUG